CCUGGCGGCCAUAGCGCGGUGGACCCACCUGAACCCAUGCCGAACUCAGAAGUGAAACGCCGUAGCGCCGAUGGUAGUAUGGGGUCUCCCCAUGCGAGAGUAGGACACUGCCAGGC
rnacentral:rRNA from 1 species